rnacentral:rRNA from 1 species
GACGAACGCUGGCGGCGUGCUUAACACGUGCAAGUCGAACGGAAAGGCCCUGCUUUUGUGGGGUGCUCGAGUGGCGAACGGGUGAGUAACACGUGAGUAACCUGCCCUUGACUUUGGGAUAACUUCAGGAAACUGGGGCUAAUACCGGAUAGGAGCUCCUGCUGCAUGGUGGGGGUUGGAAAGUUUCGGCGGUUGGGGAUGGACUCGCGGCUUAUCAGCUUGUUGGUGGGGUAGUGGCUUACCAAGGCUUUGACGGGUAGCCGGCCUGAGAGGGUGACCGGCCACAUUGGGACUGAGAUACGGCCCAGACUCCUACGGGAGGCGGCAGUGGGGAAUAUUGCACAAUGGGCGGAAGCCUGAUGCAGCAACGCCGCGUGCGGGAUGACGGCCUUCGGGUUGUAAACCGCUUUCGCCUGUGACGAAGCGUGAGUGACGGUAAUGGGUAAAGAAGCACCGGCUAACUACGUG